rnacentral:misc_RNA from 1 species
GGUGAGUACGAAAACAACCCGCCGCUCUUCGAGAACAGCAGUAUGCCGUGGACAUACUGGAUCAAUUAUCUUCUUAUUGAUGGUCCACAGUUUGUCCCAUUCCAUAAGGUUCAAAUUUUUCGAGGCGCCCUGUUGAAGAAUAAAUUCUAUCAACGCCUCGAUUUUUAGGCCUCUGCGAACAAUACCCUGCACGGUUGGGAAGCGGGGAUCAUCCCAUCCCUCAACUUUCCCAUUCUGAACAAACCAUAGCAGCUUACGCUUGC